rnacentral:rRNA from 1 species
CCUACGGGUGGCAGCAGUGGGGAAUAUUGGGCAAUGGGCGCAAGCCUGACCCAGCAACGCCGCGUGAAGGAAGAAGGCUUUCGGGUUGUAAACUUCUUUUAAGGGGGACGAACAAAUGACGGUACCCCUUGAAUAAGCCACGGCUAACUACGUGCCAGCAGCCGCGGUAAUACGUAGGUGGCAAGCGUUAUCCGGAUUUAUUGGGUGUAAAGGGCGUGUAGGCGGGAGCGCAAGUCAGAUGUGAAAAGUCAGGGCUCAACCCUGAGCCUGCAGUUGAAACUGGGUUUCUUGAGUGCUGGAGAGGCAAGCGGAAUGCGGGGUGUAGCGGUGAAAUGCGUAGAUAUACGGAGGAACACCAGUGGCGAAGGCGGAUUGCUGGACAGUAACUGACGCUGAGGCGCGAAAGCGUGGGGAGCGAACAGGAUUAGAUACCCUGGUAGUC